GGUUACUGUAAUUAUGACGAUAUUAGCAAUACAGAUUGGGGGAAUAAGUGCCAUUCUGAAACGUUCUGCAGUUGCUGUGAUUUCUUUGCAUUGGGUGUACUUGCUGGAAAGCAGUGUUGGUUUUGUAAAGGAUCUAUAUGUUUUCAUGCAUGAAUUUCACUUCAGUUCAUAAGAAGACGGUGUUGUUCUAACUUUUACUUUUAACAUAUCAGGAUAACUCAGUCGAGAACUUUAAAAGAGCAAACAAGAUUCUGGCUUCGGAGUCUGAGCCGGUUCAAAUAUGGGAUUUCUCUGCGCGAACAACCUUCAUAUGGAUGAAUGAAUGGAACCGUAUGCCCCAAGAUCCUCGGUCUAAGAUCCUCGGCCUUCUGACCAGGAGGUCAUAUCUUCUCGAUCUAAUUUGCCAUUCUAUUGCCUAUGCUUAAUUUCUUGCAUAAGAUUGUUAUAAAUUAAUUGUACAGUUGUGUUGGUCAUAGUCUUUUAUCUCCUAGCUACUUCUUAAGGCUUUUCUACUGCAUUACUACUAAUUAGCCAAAUUAAUCACCAUUUCUGUUAUUUCCUCCUGCAACAACGUAAUUUUAUUUGAAUGCGGAGCACUGGAACGCUAUAUUGCUGGUUUUUUGAGUAAACAUUCACUGUCCUAAUGAAAAAUUUCUACUUUAGUGACUUGAAUUUUCAUGUGCACAUGGGUAGCAAGUAAGUAAUAGUUGCUUUUAAGCGGGUUGAAAUUGAAAGUAUGCUUAUAGCCCCCAUCUUCUCCGAGCUUUUGAAAUCUAACCUCGGCUCAAUGCUGGAGUGCUAAAUUCGGCUGAUGCCUGAAGUUCUACUUAUGUCUGGCAAGUUAUAAGCAUGUUUAGCAUUGUAUAUAUUGGUACUGGUACCCCCCUCCCUCCAUAAUAUCAAAGACGAUGACCGAUCUGGAUUGAGCCGGCUUCCUCAAAAUAGAUGAGUUGGCUUCUGCUAGGUUAAUCCAGACUCGACUGGCCUGACUAAACAAAGUAUACACCAUGUUGUACUUAUGCUUUUGUUCAGUCCUUAAAGGUUGAGUUAAGUAUCUUUGUAAUGUAGGUAAUUUGCUCAGACAUCAUGAAUGCAUUUUAUUUGUAGGCAACAGGUGAGGAUGGUGGCAGGAGGAUGUACCUGCGGCGUGAGGAGAUGGGUGCAGGAACAGCCGGCGCGCGGAGGUGGCUGGUUCCGACGGCCUCAGGUGAGGAUGGUGGCAGGAGGAUGUACCUGCGGCGUGAGGAGAUGGGUGCAGGAACAGACGGCCUUGGUGAGCAACACCAUGAGAGGAGAUGGGUGCAGGAACAGACGGCCUUGGUGAGCAACACCAUGAGACGGGAGCAGAGGUUGCUGGUUCCGGCGUGGCCGGACUGGUUCCGUUCCGGCGGAUGUGGCCGGAGGGCGAGUAUGGGUCCAGCGAGAGGAAAAACUGGCGUUCCUGGUGACGUGCGAUGACGGCUCGAUGGAGCUUCCGCACUUGUUUCUUUGGUUGGUUUGGCUGGGACGUGUCUUUUUUUUGGUUUGUUUUUUUGGUCAAUGCAUGGAGUACUGUUGUUUUUCUUUGGCCGGUGCGUGAUCGUGGUACUGUUGUUUUUCUUUGGCCGGUGCGUGAUCGUGGAUUGAGUCGUAACUGUUGUUUUUCUUUGGCCGGUGCGUGAUCGUGGGCUGAGUUGGUGGAGAUGUAUCUGAUCGUGGGCUGAGUUGGUGGCGA